rnacentral:ncRNA from 1 species
UGAUAGCGUUGAAGCGUGAGGUUGCUACUGAAUAUCAGUAGGUUUUCCGUGGAGCGAAUGUCAAGUUAGGAAACUGGCGACAA